GGGCCCGUAGCUCAGAGGGUAGAGCAGCCGGCUCAUAACCGGUUGGUCGCAGGUUCGAGUCCUGCCGGGCCCA
rnacentral:tRNA from 1 species